rnacentral:lncRNA from 1 species
UGAGGGGAAAACAGUUCAUAUUAAAAAAGAUCUCAUUUUAUUUCACGAUAAAAUGAAUAAAACAACAUUCCUACUAGCUGAAAGUCCUUGAAACUAGUACAAAAUAAAUUAACUCACCUAAAACUAUGAAGCUUAAAGAUUAUUAUGCUAAGCACUUAUUAAAUAUGUGAUCAGUAAGGUACUGAUCCAUCAAUUCAUCAAUGAAUAUUCUUAAUUCUUCCCUCCUUUAGGCGGAGACGGAGUUGGUGGAUGCAUGAACGGCCAUGGAUGAUAAGAAAAUUUGUGACGAAAACCACCGGCAGGCCUUGGUGGAUGAGCAAAUGGCCAUGGAUGUAGAUGGUACCAUCGAUAACGAUAAAACCACCACCAAUCUAGUUCCUUAUCAAAUUCAGUAGCAGCAAUUUAUCAAAUUCGGUAGCAGCAAUUUCAUCAUUUGAGGAUGAAUCAAAUUUCUCAGUGGCGAAACAUAAGUUAGACAAAUAGGAAAACGCAAAUGAGAAAAAAAGCAGUGCAAUUUUUCUUGUGCAUGGUUGAUAGUAGUUAAGUGUUUAAAACUUUUUGUUCUCUAAAGAUGAAAUAUAAGGUUGGUGUUGUAGGGGAUUUUAUAGGGUUGCCAAUCAAGAGUUCAUUUGGCUUAGGAGAUUUUAAGUUUAUCAAUU